GUCUGCAGUGGUCAUCCCUUUGGAACAUUUGCAGAUACAAAAUAUGGCCAUCCAAUAUUUGAAUCUGGCAUAUCCAGAGAGUUCCAGGAUUUGAUCACACGGUGCCUGAUACAAGAUCCAGCCAAGAGAUCCACUAUAGAAGAGAUGUUACAGCACGAGUGGUUUCAUCAGGGACAACAGCACCUCAGAAAUUAGGUUCUCCAGAUCAGGUGGAAAAACCAGCAGAAAGAAGAAAAAGUCCAAAAAACAGAAGAAAAAACAGCAGAAAGAAGAAAAAGUCCAAAAAACAGAAGAAAAAACAGCAGAAAGAAGAAAAAGUCCAAAAAACAGAAGAAAAAACAGCAGAAAGAAGAAAAAGAUCAAAAAACAGAAGAAAAAACAGCAGAAAGAAAAAGAUCAAAAAACAGAAGAAAAACCAGCAGAAAGAAGAAAAAGUCCAAAAAACAAGAAAAAACAGCAGAAAGAAGAAAAAGUCCAAAAAGCAGAAGAAAAACCAGCAGAAAGAAGAAAAAGUCCAAAAAACAAGAAAAAACAGCAGAAAGAAGAAAAAGUCCA
rnacentral:lncRNA from 1 species